AUCUCACCCCAUUACUGACUGCACACACCUGGACUCAAUCACCACUCCACACUAUAUAAACACGCUCACUACACAUAGACUUUGUGGAGGAUUUGUUCAGCUCGCUUUCCUCAUGUGAUGUGGAUCAGUUUAUUAACCUUCUCAAAGAGCAAGGAGUUAACCUGGACGACCGCAGUCUGGAACCAAGGAGGGGAACACACCUCAACUCACGAUCGAUUCACUGAACUGUUCCUCCACGUUUUUGACCACGCUCCAGAAGUCCAGUGACAGGUGUAUUUUAGGAGGUGGGAGGAAACCAGAGAACCCGGAGGAAACCCACAUGGACAUGGGGAGAACAAGCACAGAAACUCCACACAGACAGAAGCCCGAGCUCAGGACUGAAGCGGGGACCCUGGAGCUGUGAGGAGACAACGCUACCCACUGCAUCACCACACUGCUCAUAGAUCCACAGAGUUCCCCUUUUGUAUAGAUGGUAAUGAAUCAAAAACACAACAGCUGUGUAACGCUAAACUGGAAAUUAGCUGUUAUUAUUAUUUGAAAUCAAUUUAUUCACUAUUAUUUAUUUACUGAAUUUAUUUUUUUGAAUUUUGUCAAAGUAAUGAAAGUGUCACAGUUCAGUCCACAUCGACCGCGCUUGAGUUUUGGAAGGCAUGCAACUUAAAAAAAACCAAAAACUCUCUCUCUAUGUAUAUAUAUAUAUAUAUAAUGUGUGUAUAUAUGUAUGUAUAUAUGUCUAUAUGUAUAUAUAUGUAUGUAUAUGUGUAUGUAUGUAAUAAUGCAAAGUGUAAUAGAAAAGUCAUUUACUUGUAACUGUCACGUCUUCAUUCUGGUCUUAGCUGUAAAUAGAUGCGUGUGAAUUUCACACCUUUUUCUGCUGUCUCUCAUAUAAAAUGCAGGAAGUGAAGAUGGUCACUGACAGAGGGACAGCAGAAAAAGGUGUGAAAUUCACACGCAUCUAUUUACAGCUAAGACCAGAAUGAAGAAGUGACGUACAGGUUACAGGAAAAUAGGCUACUUAUCAAAAAAAUUUGAGCUUGAUCUCUUGUAUAUCGUUUUAUAAUCAAAGUAUUGGACGAAUUAAAUUAAUCUUUGUAUCUAAUCUUUAUAUCUUUGUAUUUAAUCUCUUAAUAUUUAUGUGUAAUAGUUAGAAUAAUUGACUAUUAUUAAUGUCUUAAUAAUGUGAGAUUAAUCUGAAAAUAAACGAAAGACAUACAAUACAGUUUAGUGUAAUUGUGCAGUUGUCAACAACAGGGGCGUCGCUAAACCCUUUUUACUGGGACACGAGUCUUUUUGAAGUGAUUUGUUCAUUUAGGAGGCUGGUUAGUUAGUUUACUCAUAAAAAUGUUAAUUAAACACACCUGCCUGUAAUUUUCUGUGCAUAAAUCUUUGGUUAGAUGUUUCAGGUGUGUGUGAUUAGGGAUGGAGUUAAACUCUGCAGGACAGUGCAGUGGCCCUCAGGACCGGAAUCGCCCAUCCCUGGUUUAGGAGAUAAUUUCACAGUUUCAGUGGCUCCAUUAUAUUGUCUGGUAUUUGUGUAAAUAAAACAUAAUGAAUUUGUUUUUGGGGGACUAGGUUUCUGAUGGACUAGGAUUGGAGAGGAAGGAUUUUAAAUGUAAUGAUAAUGUUGAUAUAUUUGUUGUUUUAUAUACAGGUUAUUUCAAAAGUCACUACUGUAUUAUUGUGAUGGGAUUUCAGGUGCCAGCUUUUUAUUUCAAAAAAUCAUUUCUUCUCUUGUCUUUUUGAACAGAGUGUAUAUCUAUGUGUAUUUAUUUCAGGAGUUUUAAUAGAAAUGAGGUAUAGUAAAUAUCAAAUAAAAUGUAAACGUGCAUUGAUGAAGUUAAUGUUGUUAGUAAUUGUUUAAAAAUGACCAUGG